UACGGAGGGGGCAAGCGUUGUUCGGAAUUACUGGGCGUAAAGGGCUCGUAGGCGGCCAACUAAGUCGGACGUGAAAUCCCCAGGCUCAACCUGGGAACUGCGUCUGAUACUGGAUGGCUUGAAUCCGGGAGAGGGAUGCAGAAUUCCAGGUGUAGCGGUGAAAUGCGUAGAUAUCUGGAGGAAUACCGGUGGCGAAGGCGGCAUCCUGGACCGGCAUUGACGCUGAGGAGCGAAAGCCAGGGGAGCAAACGGG
rnacentral:rRNA from 1 species